rnacentral:rRNA from 1 species
CCUACGGGUGGCAGCAGUGAGGAAUAUUGGUCAAUGGCCGGAAGGCUGAACCAGCCAUGCCGCGUGAAGGUCAGUGCCCUAUGGGCGUUAAACUUCUUUUGUGCGGGAGCAAUAAUGGUCACGUGUGGCCAGACGAGAGUACCGUACGAAUAAGCAUCGGCUAACUCCGUGCCAGCAGCCGCGGUAAUACGGGGGAUGCAAGCGUUAUCCGGAUUUAUUGGGUUUAAAGGGUGCGUAGGCUGUGAGGUAAGUCAGCGGUGAAAUGCCCCCGCUCAACGGGGUGAAGUGCCAUUGAUACUGCCUGGCUGGAAUGCGGAUGCGGUGGGAGGAAUGUGUGGUGUAGCGGUGAAAUGCAUAGAUAUCACACAGAACACCGAUUGCGAAGGCAUCUCACGAAUCCGCGAUUGACGCUGAUGCACGAAAGCGUGGGUAUCAAACAGGAGUAGAUACCCGGGUAGUC